UACGAAGGGGGCUAGCGUUGUUCGGAAUCACUGGGCGUAAAGGGCGCGUAGGCGGCCGGUCAAGUCGGGGUGAAAGCCUGUGGCUCAACCACAGAAUGGCCUCGAUACUGGACGGCUCGAGACCGGAAGAGGUGAGUGGAACUGCGGGUGUAGCGGUGAAAUGCGUAGAUAUUGGGAGGAACACCAGUGGCGAAGGCGGCUCACUGGACCGGUACUGACGCUGAGGCGCGAAAGCUAGGGGAGCGAACGGG
rnacentral:rRNA from 1 species